CCUACGGGAGGCAGCAGUGGGGAAUAUUGGGCAAUGGAGGAAACUCUGACCCAGCGACGCCGCGUGCGGGAUGAAGGCCUUCGGGUUGUAAACCGCUUUCAGUAGGGAAGAAGCGAAAGUGACGGUACCUACAGAAGAAGCACCGGCUAACUAUGUGCCAGCAGCCGCGGUAAUACAUAGGGUGCAAGCGUUGUCCGGAAUUAUUGGGCGUAAAGAGCUCGUAGGUGGUUCGUCACGUCGGAUGUGAAAAUCUGGGGCUCAACCCCAGACCUGCAUUCGAUACGGGCGAUCUAGAGUGUGGUAGGGGAGACUGGAAUUCCUGGUGUAGCGGUGGAAUGCGCAGAUAUCAGGAGGAACACCAAUGGCGAAGGCAGGUCUCUGGGCCAUUACUGACACUGAGGAGCGAAAGCGUGGGGAGCGAACAGGAUUAGAUACCCUGGUAGUCCACGCCGUAAACGGUGGGCACUAGUUGUGGGAACCUUCCACGGUUUCUGCGACGCNGCUACGCAUAAGUAGCCCGCCGUCGGGAGGUACGAGCGCGAGAGUAAACUACGUAAGUAAGUAGUUAGNGUGAGAGUGCGACGGCGACGACGAGGGAGGAGG
rnacentral:rRNA from 1 species